rnacentral:sRNA from 1 species
UAUCAUUACAUUGCUCUUGGAUGGAUUAA